CCGCCAACAAAACCUGGAAUUCCAAUGAAAACCGAACACUGGCUGCAUCUUUCACUGUCAACAAUUAAUACUCAAUUAACUCUAACGGUUGAAGUACAGGAGAAUACGCAAUUUGGAAAACAAUUACAGGGACAGUACCCAGUUCUAUAUGCUGAUCAAAACUGUUUUAUUUUAAGCCUUCCAAAAUCAACAUCAGAUGGUUUACAGUGCGUAGCAUGGGUGCCAGCAAGCACGGCUCACUUCCUUCAUAGCAAUUGCAAAAGGGCAUUCCUUACGCAAUGCCCGGCAUGCCAGCCUGGAACAGGACAGGCAGCUCCCGAAGCCGCAAGUACAGAUGGCUGACAAAGAAAGAAUAACUGAAGAAUUACGAAGACGGUUUCUGUUAGACAAUCUCGUUGUAA